UGGGGAAUAUUGGACAAUGGGCGCAAGCCUGAUCCAGCCAUGCCGCGUGUGUGAAGAAGGCCUUCGGGUUGUAAAGCACUUUCAGCGAGGAGGAAGGGAGUUGUGUUAAUAGCACAGCUUCUUGACGUUACUCGCAGAAGAAGCAUCGGCUAACUCUGUGUCAGCAGCCGCGGUAAUACAGAGGGUGCAAGCGUUAAUCGGAAUUACUGGGCGUAAAGCGCACGUAGGCGGUUUUUAAGUCAGAUGUGAAAGCCCCGGGCUCAACCUGGGAAUUGCAUUUGAAACUGGAAAACUAGAGUGUGUGAGAGGGGGGUAGAAUUCCAAGUGUAGCGGUGAAAUGCGUAGAGAUUUGGAGGAAUACCAGUGGCGAAGGCGGCCCCCUGGCACAACACUGACGCUCAGGUGCGAAAGCGUGGGGAGCAAACAGGAUUAGAUACCCACGUAGUCCCUGAGCGGGCUGGCAAGGCGCAU
rnacentral:rRNA from 1 species